rnacentral:rRNA from 1 species
AGAGUUUGAUCCUGGCUCAGGAUGAACGCUAGCGGGAGGCCUAACACAUGCAAGUCGAACGGGAUUGGGAGCUUGCUCCCAUGAGAGUGGCGCACGGGUGAGUAACGCGUAUGCAACCUACCUUUAACAGGAGAAUAGCCCCGAGAAAUCGGGAUUAAUACUCCAUAUCAUUUAUGAAUCGCAUGGUUUAUAAAUAAAAGUUACGACGGUUAAAGAUGGGCAUGCGUGACAUUAGCUAGUUGGUGAGGUAACGGCUCACCAAGGCUACGAUGUCUAGGGGUUCUGAGAGGAUUAUCCCCCACACUGGUACUGAGACACGGACCAGACUCCUACGGGAGGCAGCAGUGAGGAAUAUUGGUCAAUGGUCGCAAGACUGAACCAGCCAUGCCGCGUGCAGGAUGAAGGUUCUAUGAAUCGUAAACUGCUUUUCUAAGGGAAGAAACCUACUUACGUGUAAGUAGUUGCCGGUACUUUAGGAAUAAGCAUCGGCUAACUCCGUGCCAGCAGCCGCGGUAAUACGGAGGAUGCGAGCGUUAUCCGGAUUUAUUGGGUUUAAAGGGUGCGUAGGCGGAUCAUUAAGUCAGUGGUGAAAUCUUUCGGCUCAACUGGAAAAUUGCCAUUGAUACUGAUGAUCUUGAAUGCAGUUGAGGUAAGCGGAAUGUGUAAUGUAGCGGUGAAAUGCUUAGAUAUUACACAGAACACCGAUUGCGAAGGCAGCUUGCUAAACUGUGAUUGACGCUGAGGCACGAAAGCGUGGGGAUCAAACAGGAUUAGAUACCCUGGUAGUCC